UUCCACUUGAAAACCCUAACCAGCAAAAUCUGAUUCUGCCUCCUCCAUCUAGAUAUCAAAAUUAAGAAGGUGAAUCAAAAAAAUCAGAGUGAGAAAUGAUAAUGAUCCUGAUCAACAAUUGGAUUCAGGCUUAACUCUGAAGCUAAUCCAUUGUUGCGAUUUUGCAAUUGAAGAGUACUAAUUUGCAGCAAUGUCAAACAUUCCAGAAGAAGUGUACCUGGAAAUCUUAUACAGAGUACCAGUGAAAUCAACAUUUUUAUGUAAGUGUGUCUGCAAAUCUUGGUUAUCCUUAAUUUCUACUCCUGAUUUUGUCAAAAUGCAUCUCAAUGUUUCUAUCCAGAAAAAUAACCCUAAACUCAUGAUUAAAUACCAAGACCCGUUGGAAAAUCGUUUGUUAGUGGAACGUCGCGGUGUUGCUUUAUAUUCUGUUAGUUAUGAUUCGUUAUCAUCAUCGAUUAAUGAAUUUGAAUAUGAAGCUGUUGAAUUAGAUUACCCAUUGGGACAUUUCGAUUACUUUUUCAAAACAAUGGGUAUUUGUGAUGGUUUGGUCUGCUUAUGUUUUCAAGUUGGUCGUCGGGAUGUUCUUUUUCUUUGGAACCCAGCAACAAGAGAAUUCAAGGGAGUACUCGCAGCACCAAAUGAAGCUUCGGAUACUAAAGAGCUUGGAAUUUGUGGUUUUUGUUAUGAUAAAAGGAUUGACGAUUACAAAUUAGUGAAACUUUUACAGUGUAAUAGAAGUUUAAUGGUGGAUGCAAGUUAUGUGGUAGACAGGAUUGAUCAGAGUCAAGGAAUGUCUUUAGUCGAUGUUUAUAAUAUGGGGUCAAAUUCAUGGAAAAGCAUUGAAUCUGUUCCGUACAGUUUUCCUAUGUGUGGAAUUCCGGGAGUGCUUGUUAAUGGAGCUCUUCAUUGGUUGGGGCAUACAGAAGCUCUACAGCGUUCUCUGGUUAUGGUUACUUUUAAUAUCAUCGAAGAGAGAUUUGAAGAAUUGCAACUUCCAAAACAACCGUUUGACAAGAAGAAAAUAUUUGUAACUGUGGGAGUGUUAAAAGGGUGUCUUUGUGUCAUUAAUAGUAUUGAUCCCAAUUGCUUUCAAAUAUGGAAGAUGGAGGAUUAUGGAGUUCAAGAAUCGUGGAAUUUAUGUCAUGUUAUUACCAAUGAAGGAGUUGCGAAUGACUCUUCAUUAAUGUUGGUUUGGUUCAAGAAUGGUGAGCUUCUAUUUCACAUUCCCGGUGACCUAGUUUUUUAUGACUCGAAGAAUGGAACAGCUAGAGAACCAAAUAUUCUUAGUGCAUCUUUGAUUUUGAUCGAACAAGAGAUUUAAUUUGAAAGCUUAGUUUCCUUAAAAUCUGGCAGAUAUGUGGGGGAACCUCCACCAGAGGAGGAAUAAUUGAAACUUGAGGCAAAUGGAUUCUGCUAUUUAGUCUCCUUAUUAUGUGCAAGUAAGAUAAUCUUGAAAUGGAAAAUGUACAGAAAGCUGCUCAUGCUUUAAGUUAAGGCGCUGAAGCCAGGAGCUGCUGAACCUCUGUUAUUGGGCUUGACCACAAGUUGCUCUCUUCGUAUUUGGUUUUAAAGGCCUUGCAGAGGUUAGCAUUUUACCAUGCUAGUUUUUUUACUUUUGAGGAUCUUACUUUGUUGAUGUGUUCUGUGUUUGUAAAGUGUGAGAAAUAGCAUAUUGAAUCUGAAUAUAAUCUCUCCACCAUAUCGAUCACUCUCUCAGAGUGCAUGUCAAUUUGUGAAUGUAGAGGUGCCAUAAUUCAGUAUCUGCAGUAACAAAUUUGAAUUCUUUAUCAUGAAAAUGGCUUCUUCUUCAUGUUC